GCCGGGUGCUGUGGUGCACGCCUGUAAUCCCAGUGGCUCAGGAGGCUGAGACAGGAGGAUCAUGAGUUCAAAGCCAGCCUCAGCAAUCGCAAGGUGCUAAACAGCUCAGUGAGACCCUGUCUCUA
rnacentral:sRNA from 1 species